rnacentral:rRNA from 1 species
UAGGGAAUCUUCGGCAAUGGACGAAAGUCUGACCGAGCAACGCCGCGUGAGUGAAGAAGGUUUUCGGAUCGUAAAACUCUGUUGUUAGAGAAGAACAAGGACGUUAGUAACUGAACGUCCCCUGACGGUAUCUAACCAGAAAGCCACGGCUAACUACGUGCCAGCAGCCGCGGUAAUACGUAGGUGGCAAGCGUUGUCCGGAUUUAUUGGGCGUAAAGCGAGCGGAGGCGGUUUCUUAAGUCUGAUGUGAAAGCCCCCGGCUCAACCGGGGAGGGUCAUUGGAAACUGGGAGACUUGAGUGCAGAAGAGGAGAGUUGAAUUCCAUGUGUAGCGGUGAAAUGCGUAGAUAUAUGGAGGAACACCAGUGGCGAAGGCGGCUCUCUGGUCUGUAACUGACGCUGAGGCUCGAAAGCGUGGGGAGCAAACAGG